AUUGAACGCUGGCGGCAUGCUUUACACAUGCAAGUCGAGCGGCAGCGCGGGGGCAACCCUGGCGGCGAGCGGCGAACGGGUGAGUAAUGCAUCGGAACGUACCCUGGAGUGGGGGAUAACGCCGCGAAAGCGGCGCUAAUACCGCAUAUGCUCUGAGGAGGAAAGUGGGGGACCGCAAGGCCUCACGCUCUGGGAGCGGCCGAUGUCCGAUUAGCUAGUUGGUGGGGUAAAGGCUUACCAAGGCGACGAUCGGUAGCUGGUCUGAGGGGAUGAUCAGCCACACUGGGACUGAGACACGGCCCAGACUCCUACGGGAGGCAGCAGUGGGGAAUUUUGGACAAUGGGGGCAACCCUGAUCCAGCCAUGCCGCGUGAGUGAAGAAGGCC
rnacentral:rRNA from 1 species